rnacentral:rRNA from 1 species
UACCAGCACCCCGAGUGGGCGGGACGAUUAUUGGGCCUAAAGCAUCCGUAGCCGGUUCUACAAGUCUUCCGUUAAAUCCACCUGCUUAACAGAUGGGCUGCGGAGGAUACUAUGGAGCUAGGAGGCGGGAGAGGCAAGCGGUACUUAGUGGGUAGGGGUAAAGUCCGUUGAUCCAUUGAAGACCACCAGUGGCGAAGGCGGCUUGCCAGAACGCACUCGACGGUGAGGGAUGAAAGCUGGGGGAGCAAACCGG